AUUUUUCUCCCCAAAUUGAAACACACAGAAAUGGAAACCCUCUCUAUGCCUCACCAUCUCUAGCCACACUUCAAAGGACGAUACCGUCGCCGCUCCGGCAACACUUCCGUCAAAGGUUUGGCUGCCUCCCACUUCACCAUUUCGGACCGUGCUUGGGACGAAGGUUGUCGCCACUCCAGGAACACUUCCAUCCAAGUUUCACUGGUCAUGCUUGACCAUCUCCAACCGCCAGUGAAAUCAGACGACAAUUAUCACUCUUCCUCACGCCAUUUGGGAAUUGGUUGCUGGACAAAGGCAUGUAGUGAAUUCACCCCCAAUUCUUUAAUUUUUGCCUAUGUUAUAAGUAGUCUGAAACUAAAAAUGGUUAUUAUGCAUUCAUCAGUCCGAAAAUACUAACACUGAAAUAUCAUGUUAAUAUUUUUUUUCAUUUUUCUGCUACAUUGGUCAUGGAGCUAACCCUUUUCACUAAGCUAAAAAAUGAUUGUCAGAUUCAAUUAUAUUUAGAGGGAGAAACAUUAUCUUGUAGGCAAAAUAGUUAAAUUUCUGGUAUAAAAAUCCUGUUCUUUGGAUAAAGCAGAUAUCAAGUUCCAACAUUACUACAAUUGCAUCUCUUUAAGUUAAUUGUAAACUGUGGUUUAUUUUCAUUAUAGAAUGGGAGGAAAGAAUACUGGAAUCGUCAUAGCUGUAGAUCUAAGGGCCACUUCUUUGUCGACUGCCCAUGGAAACCUCGAUGCCCAAAUUGUAAGCAUGGACUCGAGAAGUGUUUUGUAGUGUAGAAGUAGACGAUGAAUAAAGGGUGUUUGUUUCUUUGUUGCAGUGAGAAAUGUGGAUUUUGGGAAUGAGUUGCGAAAAAUCAAUCAAGUGGUCAAUCCUCUAGCGAUAACUCUUCUUCAGUUUCUUCAGUUUACCAUGUGACGAAUGACACUGUUGAAGAAAUGUCAAACACAUUCCAAUCUUGAGUUAACCUCGUCGAUGAAGAAGACCUACAGAUUUUGGUGUGAGACAAUAAGCAAGGUAAAUGGUAGGGUGCAAGUGAAUGCAAAAGGGAAGGGAUCGAUCUGAUUAUUAGAUAAACCUUAGCUCUCGAGUUGUGACAUAAAUUUUGGCAACGUAGCAUUAUUAUACGUGACUCUAUGUAAACUAAUUGAAUGAUGGGUCUGUGUACCAUUUUG
rnacentral:lncRNA from 1 species